rnacentral:rRNA from 1 species
CAAUAGCGUAUAUUUAAGUUGUUGCAGUUAAAAAGCUCGUAGUUGGAUUUUGGCUGAGAACGAUCGGUCCGCCGUUAGGUGUGCACUGAUUGGUCUCAGCUUCCUGGUGAGGAGGUGUGCUUCACGGCCACUUAGUCACCGUGGUUACUUUGAAAAAAUUAGAGUGUUCAAAGCGGGCUUACGCUUGAAUAUAUUAGCAUGGAAUAACACCAUAGGACUCCUGUCCUAUUUCGUUGGUCUCGGGACGGGAGUAAUGAUUAAGAGGAACAGUUGGGGGCAUUCGUAUUUCAUUGUCAGAGGUGAAAUUCUUGGAUUUAUGAAAGACGAACUUCUGCGAAAGCAUUUGCCAAGGAUGUUUUCAUUAA